rnacentral:rRNA from 1 species
AUUGAACGCUGGCGGCAGGCCUAACACAUGCAAGUCGAACGAGUGGCGGACGGGCGAGUAAUGUCUGGGAAACUGCCUGAUGGAGGGGGAUCACUACUGGAAACGGUAGCUAAUACCGCAUACCAUCGGAGGUGCCCAGAUGGGAUUAGCUAGUAGGUGGGGUAAAGGCCUACCUAGGCGACGAUCCCUAGCGGGUCUGCGAGGAUGACCCGCCCCACUGGAAACGGGGCACGGGCCAGACGCCUAGGGGAUGCAGCAGUGGGGAAGAUUGCGCAAUGGGCGCAAGCCUGAUUCAGCCAGGCCGCGUGUAUGAAGAAGGCCUUCGGGUUGUAAAGUACUUUCAGCGGGGAGACGUUACCCGCAGAAGAAGCACCGGCUAACUCCGUGCCAGCAGCCCCGGUAAUUC